GACGAACGCUGGCGGCGUGCUUAACACAUGCAAGUCGAACGAAGUGGCGAACGGGUGAGUAACGCGUAAUCAACCUGCCCUUCAGCGGGGCAUAACAGUUGGAAACGACUGCUAAUACCGCAUACUGUAGGAGGGGAUUGCGUCUGUUUGGCUAGUUGGAGGGGUAACGGCCCACCAAGGCGAUGAUCAGCAGGCCGUCUGAGAGGAUGAACGGGCACAUUGGGACUGAGAAACGGCCCAGGCUCCUACGGGAGGCAGCAGUGGGGAAUCUUCCGCAAUGGACGGAAGUCUGACGGAGCAACGCCGCGUGAGUGAUGACGGCCUUCGGGUUGGAAAGCUCUGUUAAUCGGGACGCGGUACCGGAAUAGAAAGCCACGGCUAACUACGUGCCAGCAGCCGCGGUAAUUC
rnacentral:rRNA from 1 species